GGCGAGGUGGGCCCAAUUUUAAGGCGAUGGACUGCUAAUCCAUUGGGCUCUGCCCGCGUGGGUUCCCAAACAAAACCUUGUCG